GACGAACGCUGGCGGCGUGCCUAACACAUGCAAGUCGAGCGAGGUAUUUAUACCUAGCGGCGGACGGGUGAGUAACACGUGGGUAACCUGCCUCAUAGAGGGGAAUAGCCUUCCGAAAGGGAGAUUAAUACCGCAUAAUAUAUACUGGUAGCAGUAAUGGUAUCACAAAGGAGAAAUCCGCUAGGAGAUGGGCCCGCGGCGCAUUAGCUAGUUGGAGAGGUAACGGCUCACCAAGGCGACGAUGCGUAGCCGACCUGAGAGGGUGAUCGGCCACAUUGGAACUGAGACACGGUCCAGACUCCUACGGGAGGCAGCAGUGGGGAAUAUUGCACAAUGGGGGAAACCCCGAUGCAGCAACGCCGCGUGAAUGAUGGCGGCCUUCGGGUUGUAAAGUUCUUUGAUUGGGGACGAAAAUGACGGUACCCAAAAAACAAGCACCGGCUAACUACGUGCCAGCCGCCGCGGUAAUAC
rnacentral:rRNA from 1 species